UACGUAGGGUGCGAGCGUUAAUCGGAAUGACUGGGCGUAAAGCGUGCGCAGGCGGUUCGUUGUGUCGGCGGUGAAAUCCCCGGGCUCAACCUGGGAAUGGCCGUUGAAACUGGCGAACUGGAGUGUGGCAGAGGGGGGUGGAAUUCCGCGUGUAGCAGUGAAAUGCGUAGAGAUGCGGAGGAACACCGAUGGCGAAGGCAGCCCCCUGGGCUGACACUGACGCUCAGGCACGAAAGCGUGGGGAGCAAACAGG
rnacentral:rRNA from 1 species